GAUGAACGCUGGCGGCGUGCUUAACACAUGCAAGUCGAACGAGAAGUGGAGACGGAAAUCUUCGGGCGGAAGACUUUAUUUCGAGUGGCGGACGGGUGAGUAACGCGUGGGUAACCUGCCUCAUACAGGGGGAUAACAGUUGGAAACGACUGUUAAUACCGCAUAAGACCACAGCACCGCAUGGUGCGGGGGUAAAAACUCCGGUGGUAUGAGAUGGACCCGCGUUCGAUUAGCCAGUUGGCGGGGUAACGGCCCACCAAAGCGACGAUCGAUAGCCGAUCUGAGAGGAUGACCGGCCACAUUGGGACUGAGACACGGCCCAAACUCCUACGGGAGGCAGCAGUGGGGAAUAUUGCACAAUGGGGGAAACCCUGAUGCAGCGACGCCGCGUGAGUGAAGAAGUAUUUCGGUAUGUAAAGCUCUAUCAGCAGGGAAGAAAAUGACGGUACCUGAGUAAGAAGCCCCGGCUAACUACGUG
rnacentral:rRNA from 1 species